CUACAGCCGAACAGAGCACACGGGCUAAAACUUUGUUAUCAAGGGCAGAGCGAAAACGGAGUUUACCAAGCUGUGGCGUCACAUAAACGCUGAGCAUCCACUCGACAGCGGUCAGGUUUUUAUAUGGGACGAAUCCAAAGACCAGGUCAGCGUUUCCAGAUCCCAGUGUAUUCCAGUGUUCACUGGACGGUGAGCCAACCCAAGAUCCUAGGGCCUGAUAUACAUACACACGUUGAUGGACUACAAUCCUCUACUGUACAAGUAGUACGGUAGGACAGACAAUUACACACACACACUCCUCAUUGGAAGGACUCUAUUGCAAUACACCCGUUUGUCAUGGGCCCCACCGGUACCAUUUGGACUUAAAAAAGACUAAUUGUUUAGUUGUGCACAAUUUUAUUUUAUUCUAUUUUUUUGCUACUUUGGGGGAAAUUUUUAUACUUGAAGUUCUGUUAAAACCUCUUGUAAUACUGUGUUGUUUACAAAAUUCUUUUAAAAGGCUUAACAUCACUA